UCUCUGAGCAGGUGGUCACUUAUUGUCAGUCGUGCUUUCAAUAUGUUGGCUUGACUUUAACGGGGAAAAAAAAGAAACUUAAAGCGGGGAGUUAUUUUAAAAGACAUACCAAUUAGUGCGGUUUGAGGAGGAAGUUGAGGGUGUGUAAUGGGUUAACGUCGGAAGGCCUCUCCUCACCUUUAGUGCGCGUCACCCGGCUCCGUAAAGUGGUUCCACCGUCCACACUGAAGGGGCGAAAUCACUGCCUCUCGCCGCCGCCAGACGCGCACCUCGCCUCGGUCUAUCGCGCAUCAUCCUGCUGGUCUCCACCCCGCUGCUCUAUCACGCAAACCACAAAACACCGGGAACUGAAGGAAUAAGUGUGAUUUACAGGAAACAUGAAGGACCGCAUGCAAGAACUUAAACAUGGGAAGGAGACGACAGAGGAGGAGGAUGAAGUUGCUGUGGGGAUGGACAAAGGCUUUAUGGAUGAAUUCUUUGACCAGGUGGAGGAGAUCCGGGGUUUUAUUGAAUCUCUGGCAGAGAAAGUUGAGGAGGUGAAGAGGAAUCACAGUGCCAUCCUCGCUUCACCCAACCCAGAUGAGAAAACCAAGGUUGAGCUGGAGGAUCUCAUGGCAGACAUCAAGAAGUUGGCCAACAAAAUACGCUCCAAAUUAAAGAGUAUCCAACAAACCAUUGAGCAAGAAGAAAGCCAGAACAGGUCAUCAGCUGACCUGAGGAUACGCAAGACACAGCACUCCACACUGUCUCGUAAGUUUGUAGAGGUGAUGUCAGAGUACAACACCACCCAGUCGGAUUACAGGGAGCGCUGCAAGGGACGCAUUCAGAGACAGCUGGAGAUCACUGGGAGAAACACAACAAACGAGGAACUGGAGAGCAUGUUGGAAAGUGACAACCCAGCUAUCUUCAGCUCCGGGAUCAUUAUGGACAAUAUCACAGAGCAAGCUAUGAAUGAGAUUGAGACACGACACACCGAGAUCAUCAAGCUGGAAAACAGCAUCAGAGAGCUUCACGACAUGUUCAUGGACAUGGCCAUGCUGGUGGAGAGCCAGGUGAAAACAUCCAUCCUCUCACUGUACAUAAAGCUCUGUGCUUUAGGGCCCAGGCAAAUGCAUGUCGACACAAACCUGUAACACAUUCAUAAAUAAGCAAUACAUUAGCCAAUAUGGACUCUAAUGACGACAUAAAGAAGACUUACAAAUCCAGUUUGUAUAUUUAGAGUUUCCUCCUGUCAGUGGUUUGAAAAAGCGCCCUGGCUAAUGCAAAAGUUCGGAAGCACACUUUGCUCAGUGGUAAAAUCAUUAACCAGCCAUCCUGCAGCAGCAGCUGCUGCUUCUCCCCAUCAUGAAAAUAACUCCUCUUCAGACAGAUGCAACUGGCAGUCAAUUUACAUACAAGUUGUAGAGUGUAUUUCAGUCAGGAGAGACAUAUGAAUAAAUAAAACAUAACACAUCAUUACAACAGAUGAUAUGUGAUGGUAAAUCAUGAUAAAAAGUCUUCAGCACUUAGAUUCUCCGGAAAGAUUUGUAUUUGAGGGGCUUCAAGACACUGUUAAUCGCCUGAUGAUCAUACUGCUGAGUCUGGGUGGCUGAUACUAAAGAGUCUCUGAAAAUUGGGCGGAGACGGGAAGGUUGAGGUGCACGUGUAAUGGCACUUAAGGCAGAGAAAUAAUCUUAUUUAAAAGGAGACAGCAGAAAGAUAAUAGGCCAACCAUGGAGGUGUGUUGCUGUGCUACUGGAUAUAUGUGACCAGCUGAUGAGAUCAGCUGAUAACACCAUUGACAGCCUGAGUUAAUCACAGCUGGAAAUGAUGAGAGAGCAUGUAUGAGAGGAGUGAAUGGCAGGAUAUUUAAUAAUAUUGAUUUUAAAUAAACUACUGGCCUAAGCAUACCAAAUAAUAUUCUUCCUGGCUGAAUCUAUGCUAUCUUCAUUAGUGCUGAGUUACAGCAGUAGCAGUACAUUCAGUGAGAAUUUGGUACACAAAUAAUGAAGGCUCUCAAAAUGAGCUGAUAGGAACUCAAGACCUUUGGGGAAAUCUGAUUCUUGGUCUUUCCAAUUGGCCACAAAUUAGCCUUGCAUUAACGUGCUGUUUUAUAAGAGACUUAAAUCAUAAACAAACUUUCAUUUUUGCAGGGUUUUGUAAAUUGAGAACACAUACUUCCUGGGGUAGAAAUAUGAUUCUGUUAGAAAACAGAGGCUCUAUGUACAUUGUACUGAGGAACUUGCAUCAUACAGUGAACAGUGCACAUCAUUGCACUAGUAAUACGCAGUCCUCUUAUAGCUUCUUCAAAGACACAUACAGUAUAUAUUUUUUUUUCAUUAUUUCCUUUACUCUUCUCAGUGAAGUGUCUUGCUUCAUGUACAUCAGUAUGUCUUGCCUGUAUAAAUGAAUGUCUAGGCUGAACCCCCACAGAGAUUGACGGUUUCACUCCUAAGAAAAACUCAUUCUGAAUUAUGCAAAAGACUCUGAGCACAUGCAUAAGACAUAAUAUGCUCAAUGACAAAUAUGAAAGAAAAUUGUUGCACAAUGCAAUAGCAGAAUUCCCCUCAUCAUUUAGUGUGGGAGUGAUAAUUGUAAUAAUUGUGUGUGUGUUGUCUUUUUUAUUGUGUUGUCACAAAUAUGAAUUCUCUCAAUAUAAAUAGCUCAAAUUACUAACUCUUCUCUUAUUAACUGAGCACCACAUGUUUUAAGAUUAUAAUUCAGUCUUUUGUUAAUUGUGUCUUUUUGAGCUUUGCACUCUCUUUUCCCUCUGAUUUCACACAACACUGUCAUCACCUCAAUGACUCUAAGCUCUCGAGAACAGAGAACAGCACAGCCCUCCUAAUGCAGAAAGGGAGAACUGGUGAAUAACAUCGAGCGAAGUGUGCUGGGCGCUCAUGAAUAUGUGCAGGAGGCAAAGGACAACAUCCCAAAAUGCAAAAAGUUCAAAAAGACCGGCAAACGGAAGGUGAUGCUGAUAGCAGGUUGUAUUGCAGCAGGUGUGAUCGUCCUCAUUAUUUGCCUCGCAGUUGGACUCAGUUAGGACCCCUAGAAACCCUACAGAGCAGACAGAGCAAGAGUUGAUGCCUCCCUCUCAGUGUGAAAUGUUGAGAGUGAACUCUGUCUUAAGCAGACAGUUACUGCUCACUGCUAAAGACAGUCCGUACUGUGUAAUCAAACAUUUUACAUUCACUUUUACAUGCAAUUUUAUAUAUACAGUUCUGGAUCAAAAUUGAGAGACAUUUCUCUUAAAUCUCAAUCUCGUGGCCCUCGUUCCAUUCCAGAGAAAUAUUGUAAGUAGUUUAUAAAAUAAAAUAAAACAAACAUAAUUUUACUUAAACACUUAUUUAUAGUAAAACCAGAGAAACUGAUAAUGCUGCAGUGGUCUCUGCAUUUUUCCAGAGCUGUAUAUGUAUAUACUUUUUAUUAAAUACCUUGAGGAACUUUCUUGUGUUUUGUAUCUGCUUGUGUCAUAAUUCACUUACUGUGCCUUUGUCAUAUGCAUGUUCAGCCUCCUGUAUUGCAUGUGUUUUUACUCAUCCAGAACUCUGCAUGGUGCAUAUUUUAAGUGACAAAAGUUUUCCUUUAGAAAGUAUAGAAGAAAUAUUUCUACUGUAUGAGAAAUAAAUGUUCUUGCAUUUAGGUUAGAGUAUUGGUUAAGAUUAUGUGUAAAAACAAGUUGCAUAACAAUGUCUUAGCCUAGAGCAAGGACAAGCAGAGACAAGUUCCACGCAUUGCUGUCUGCAAUGUUUCCCUUUUUGCUGCCACCACCAAAAUUGAGAUCUCCCAUAUUAUACACAUAGUGGCUUUAAAUAUCAAAAUGAUUCACAUUUGUGGAUUGUGUAAAUACAUGUUGUUAAUUUAUUUAUGGUUUUAAAAAGCAGAUGAUGUGGAAAUGCUUCUUAACCACAGUCACACUCCAAAACAUUAUCAGAUACAUUAAAGAAAAGUCUUUCUCCAAAUCUGCAUGUUGUCUUGAUUGUUAAACAUCAUGUAACGUGUGUUAAAGCAAAAUACAAAUCAGGGGGUGUCACAAGUCUGAGUCGUGUCCACUACGUCACACUGGGGGUUUUCCUUUCGGUGAGGGCCUGUCACGGACCCAUAUAGGUGGGGACUCUCAAAAUGGGGGGGGCUGCAUCUGUAUCGCUAACAUGUUUUCCUCUGCUCCCCAUUUGCUGCCAUGGAUGACUGUUUUUUGUUGUCACUUUACAGAAGAAAAUUAUGAUUAUUAUAUGCUGUGUGAUUUUGGGAGUUGUCAUUGCCUCUAUUGUGGGGGGAACACUGGCUUAAACCUCGAACACAGUCACACAAAGACACAAAACCGCACACACAACAGAGCAAAAACACGACAGACACAUUUUCUGUUUCCUGUUUUCAUAAAUGCAAUCUAAUACAUGUUUAGCCUAAGGUGCUUUACAUACUGACACAUUCUGCGCAUGGCGUACAGGGCCAGAAGUGUUUUUGCAUGAGUUGCUAUUUUGUAAAUGUGUGGUGCUGCUAACAGUUUAUCUGAGUGUUGAGUGUUGUCAACAAUAUAAUGAUGUUUCCAAAAGUGAAUUAAUGACUGAAAAAGUUACAUAGCGAUUUGUAACACUAUACUAAUACAUUCCAACUUCCAAAUAUGACAGUUAUUCAGUUGUAAAGUAUAUUUUGUGUUGUACAGGCAAAAAGUUGGGCCACUAAUCUGCAGUGAUUUCAGAGCCACGUUAUCUAUAGAUACAUCUUUAUUUUUACUCUCUCCGAUGUCCUCUACCUCCCUUCAAAAGCUCUGCAUGGUUUAGUUCACUGUAAAGUAGUGUUUAUUUUCUAUUGCAAAGGGGAAGGAAGAUGUGUUGGAUAUGUUGCUUGUAGAAGUAUCACACUGCCAAGUAUCUCUUGUUGUUUAUGAAGUAAAUGUGAAAGCAGUCAUCUGGCCUAACCAGUUGUGUUACCACAUUGCUCUAUUUUGUGUGUUUGAGUGCGUGCAUUGGAAAGAGAAUAUGUGUACGUUCAUUUGUAGUUUCAUUUUUGAAAGUACUGAGUGUGAGUCGUGGGAGGAGAACACGAGCGUUUCAUAUUAGCCACCUGUGUCUUUGUUUUGUAUAAAGUGUAAACAGACUCUCUAACACUGCCAGUAUGUUCAAAUAAACUGUUAAAAGUCUAGUCUGAUUUGGAGUGAUAAUUCUGGUCUGUAAGUGGCAAACCCUUGUUGUUUUAUGUAUUUUUACAAACCACAAGCUUUAAACAGAGCAUAUCCUUCUGUCAAGCUACUUUAUUUUUAUGAGUGAACAUGGUGCGUCAGUGAAAGCAUGAACUUAAAGUAGCCCUGUUAAAGACUCUCAUGACAAGCACCGACUGUAACCAUGUUACCAUGUUGCCUACUCAACAUGUUGCCUUUGUGUGGUAUUGUAAUGACAUGGUUUUGUUUGUUUAAUAUGAGUUUUUUCUUCAUUUUUCAAGUAAAGUUUGUCUUAAAAAUCCCA